UCCAGAGGGGGCAAGCGUUGUUCGGAAUUACUGGGCGUAAAGGGCGCGUAGGCGGCCUGUUAAGUCGAACGUGAAAUCCCCGGGCUCAACCCGGGAACUGCGUCCGAUACUGGCAGGCUUGAAUUCGGGAGAGGGAUGUGGAAUUCCAGGUGUAGCGGUGAAAUGCGUAGAGAUUAGGAAGAACACCAGUGGCGAAGGCGACUUACUGGACUGUAACUGACGCUGAGGCAUGAAAGCGUGGGGAGCAAACAGG
rnacentral:rRNA from 1 species